ACGAACGCUGGCGGCGUGCUUAACACAUGCCGGUCGAACGGAAAGGCCUCUUUCGGGGGGUACUCGAGUGGCGAACGGGUGAGUAACACGUGAGUAACCUGCCCUUGACUUUGGGAUAACUUCAGGAAACUGGGGCUAAUACCGGAUAGGAGCUCCUGCUGCAUGGUGGGGGUUGGAAAGUUUCGGCGGUUGGGGAUGGACUCGCGGCUUAUCAGCUUGUUGGUGGGGUAGUGGCUUACCAAGGCUUUGACGGGUAGCCGGCCUGAGAGGGUGACCGGCCACAUGGGGACUGAGAGACGCCCCAGACUCCGCGGGGGGGAGGAAGGGGGGAAUUUUGACAAUGGGGUGGAGGCCUGAGGCAGCACCCCCGUGGGCGGGAGGCGGGCCUGGGGGUUGUAACCCGUUUCCCCUCAGGCCAAGGCUUUGUGGGAGGGGGGGGGAUAAAGAACCCCCGACAAACUACGUC
rnacentral:rRNA from 1 species